AGGAUGAACGCUAGCGGCAGGCCUAAUACAUGCAAGUCGAACGGUGAGUAGCAAUACUCAUAGUGGCGCACGGGUGCGUAACACGUAACUAACCUACCUAUAACUGGGGGAUAGCCCGCCGAAAGGCGGAUUAAUACCGCAUAAGCCAUGGACUCGGCAUCGAGAUUUUGGUAAAGAUUUAUUGGUUAUAGAUGGGGUUGCGGGUCAUUAGCUAGUUGGUUGGGUAACGGCUGACCAAGGCGACGAUGACUA
rnacentral:rRNA from 1 species